GACAAUUUUGAUCUCUUUAAAAAGGUAAUAUGUUUAAUUCAGGAAUUGCGAAAAGCCUUGCAGCAGCUACAAGAAGAAUUGCAGAAUAAGAGCCAACAGCUUCGUGCCUGGGAGGCUGAAAAAUACAAUGAGAUUCGAACCCAGGAACAAAACAUCCAGCACCUAAACCAUAGUCUGAGUCACAAGGAGCAGUUGCUUCAGGAAUUUCGGGAGCUCCUACGGUAUCGAGAUAACUCAGACAAAACCCUUGAAGCAAAUGAAACGUUGCUUGAGAAACUUCGCCAGCGAAUACAUGAUAAAGCUGUUGCUCUGGAGAGCACUCCCAGGAGAUGGAAAGCCUGAGGGAGGCUCUGCUGUCCUCUCGAUCCCACCUUCAAGAGCUGGAAGAGGAGCUGGAGCACCAGAAGGUGGAAAGGCAGCAGCUUUUGGAAGACUUGAGGGAGAAGCAGUAAGAGGUCUUGCGUUUAAGGGAGGAACGUCUUUCCCUCCAGGAAAACGACUCCAGCUUACAGCCUGGAUGUCUGUCACCAAAUCCCUUUGAGCAGUGACCUGAACCACCUGGUGGCAGAGGUAUGAGCUCUGAGAGGGCAGCUGGAGAAGAGCAUUCAGGGGAACAAUUGUCUGUGACUGCAGCUGCAACAGCAGCUGGAUAGCCUGCUGGCAAAGCCAGCCUCAGCCCCUCCUCUGUUAACCAGAACUUCCCAGCCAGCGCUGACCCUGGAAACAAGCAGCUGCUCCUCCAAGGUGCUAGGCAGCAAAGGCAUUCAUGAGCUUCGGAGCAGCACCAGUGCCCUGCACCAUGCCCUAGAGGAGUCGGCUUCCCUCCUCACCAUGUUCUGGAGAGCGGCCCUGCCAAGCACCCACAUCCCUGUGCUGCCUGGCAAAGUGGGAGAAUCAACAGAAACGGAACUUCUGGAACUGAGAACCAAAGUAUCCAAACAGGAGCGGCUCCUUCAGAGCACAGCUGAGCGUCUGAAGACCGCCAACCAACAGAAGGAGAGCAUGGAGCAGUUCAUCGUCAGCCAGCUAACCAGAACACAUGAUGUUUUAAAGAAGGCAAGGACUAACUUAGAGAGCAGCACUUACAGGAUUGCCUGUGUAAAGCCUUAUUCCUGUCCCA
rnacentral:lncRNA from 1 species